rnacentral:lncRNA from 1 species
GAUUAGAUAGUAUUAGAAACGUGUAAUAGAUAAAUGUAAUUAACAUUUGAUGAUUAAAUAAAGGAGUUUUAUUUAUGAGUAAUGUUACUAUCUUAUGUUAAUUGUUUAACUAUUGUUUCACUUUGCAUGUUUUGACUUCCAGAAUAAUUGAGUUUAUUAGGAAUAAUCGAAUUGUUCAAAUUGUCCACAAUCGUUCAUAUGUUGGAAGUAGAUAUGAAUGAAGAUUGUCAUGAAUUGGUGUGUAGAUUGUCUAAAUGGUGUUAGACAUAGCAAAGGGUUGCUGCAACGUUCAUGAGUGCUUAUGAACUAGUUUUGAGCAUUGGAACAAACCCGCGCUUGCUGGAAUCACCUUAUGGAAUAUGAUAUAAAAGGGUGAUCGCAAGACGAUAAUAUCAUAUAGUCUUAAAACCUAGAUAUAUGGUUUGUUAUUUGUUAAUUGAUUGUACAUUGAUAAUGCGAAAACGCAUCAGUAACUCGGUGUUAUAAAACGCAUUGUUGUGUAUAGUUGGUUAAUGAAUAAGUAAAUGCAUAUAAGUCGAAGUUUAUCUGUAACUUUUAUCUAAGAAGGUAAAAGCGAUAUCUCGGCCGCUCGAUGAUUUGAUUUGACUUAUGUGCCGGGCCCGGUCAGAACUGAAUUGAUGUGUUCGAUUAAGUUCUAUGUCGAAUAAAUCAGAGAUCGAGAAACCUAAAUGCUUGACUAACCAUUCCAUAGGAUUGUCAGCAUGAUAUCUAACAGAGGACUGUACGAUCCCUUAUCUAAAGGACAAGAUUGAUUAGAUCAGAGUUUGACAGCGUCUUUGAGAGCUACGAUUGCAAACCGAAUUGUACUUGUGCAUAUAGUUACUAGACUUAUCCAAGUGGGAGACUGUUGGAAUAGUGUCUAAGGCUGCAACUAUAUUAGGCAAGUAUUUGACCCGGUUGUGCAUGGUCCUUUUGGGUUGCCUUCACCAUAGCAACUUGAUAGGAUGAUUUAUUAAGAGAGAGUAAAUUUUAUUAGUAUAUUAUGAGAAUAAUAUAAAGAAUAAUAUAUUGUUAUUUGAUUAAUAUAAGUCAUAGAAUUAAUUGGAAUUAAUUUGGUGACUUAAAGAGAUUAAUUAAAUAAAGGGGUAUAAACUGUCAAUUGUUUGAUAGUUAAGCUUUAGACUAUAAAUCCUUUUAGAUAUAUAGUGGACGGAUUCUAGAAGCUAGGAUAGCUCCAAAAUCGUCCAAUGACUUAUCCAUGGAAAGGAUUUGGAUAGCCUUAAGAGAAGAUUCUCCAAUUAGGGUUUAGGUAUUAACCCUUAAGGAGUCUACAAGUAUAAAUAGACCCCAUGGGCAAGGGAAAUUGGCACUUCAUGAAAAGCAUAGAAAACCUGGCCGAUUUCCUCCCCUCUCCUCUCUCCUAAAUCAUCUUUCUUGCUAUUGGUGUUUGUAAGCCAUUAGAGGAGUGACAAUUGUGACUCUAGAAGCUCCAAGACAACAAGGUCAAUAAGGAAUUCAAAGGUAUGAUUCUAGAUCUGUUUCAAUAUUGUUAUUACACCUAAAUAGUCAUUAGAAGUCUUGGAUUCAAAGCAUGUUUAAUUAGAAAGCCUAGAUCCAAGCAUUAGGGUUUUGCAUGCGCACAUAGGAAAGUUCUUAUGGCUAAAACCCAUCAAUUAAUGGGUUAGGAUUAGAUUUAAAUAAUUGUUGAUAUUCGCCAGAUAUGGCAAGGAACAUCAUUUCUUUUCAUGGAUUAUAUAAACAAGGUUUCAGACAUUCAUUUGAUAAUAGUAAUGGUUCUAUUAAUGUUUAUUUGAAUGGUGUUUUUUUUUUAUUUCAAUGCAUUACCUUGUAAUGGGAUUUAUGAAUCUGUGUUAGUUGUUGAUAAUUUAGGAAAUGAUGUGUUAAAUAUUGAUUCGUCUAAUAGUUUGGACAAAGAGUGCUUGUAGCAUUGUCACCUUGGCCGUUUAAACAAGAAACACAUAGCCCAACUCCAAAAGGAUGGAGUCUUAGAGUCAUUCGACCUUAGGGAUGAUGACGUGUGUGAAUCUUGCUUACUUGGGAUGAUGACCAAGUCAGCAUUUACUGGCACUUGUGAAAGGGGUGAGGGUCUAUUGAAUCUCAUACACACCAAUGUGUGUGGGCCUUUUAGAUCCACCACAAAGGAUGCUUACCGCUUCUACGUGACUUUUACGGAUGAUUAUUGCAGAUAUGGAUAUAUCUACUUAAUCAAGCAAAAGUCAGAAACCUUUGAAAAGUUCAAAGAGUUUAAGAAUGAAGUGGAGAAUCAGUUGGGUAGGAAAAUCAAGAUGCUUUGGUCAGACUGAGGAGGAGAGUACCUAAGUCUAGAGUUUCAUGACUAUCUAAAGGAAUGCAGAAUCGUUUCGCAAUUGACGCCUCCGAGAACGCCACAAUUGAAUGGUGUGGCUGAGAGACGUAAUCGGACCUUGUUGGACAUGGUUCGUUCUAUGAUGAGUCAGGCUUCAUUACCGAUAGCUUUCUGGGGGUACGNUAAAGACAGCCCCAUAUCCUAAAUUUAGUUCCCACCAAGAAGGUCACAAAAACACCUCACGAGAUGUGGACAGGGAAAGCUCCCUCGUUGGCACAUAUCAAGGUUUGGGGUUGCGAGGCUUUCGUAUGACGAGAGACUCACGGCAAGCUCGAACCUCGUUGUGAGAAGUGUUAUUUCAUCGGCUAUCCACAGAAGUCCUUUGGCUAUCUCUUCUAUAGACCGAGUGACAAUGUUGUCUUCAUUGUGAGAAGAGGGGUUUUCCGAGAAAGGGAACUCAUUAGUCAAGAGGACAGUGGGAGGCAAAUUGAUCUUGAAGAGAUUCAAGAGCAAAGAGAUGAAGGAACUUCUAACGCUGGCACUCAACCUGAGGAGGAAACUCCUGUUGAACCUGUUGACGAGUCCUUACCUCUUAGACGUUCCAGUAGGGCUAGUGUUCCAUCCCAGUUGUAUGGAUUCCAUAUUACUACUGAAGGGGAUACAUUUAUUAGUGAUAGUAAAGUAGUAAAUUUGGACGAACCUAGCAGCUACAAGGAAGCCAUGGCAGGCCCAGAGUCUGCCAAGUGGAAAAAGGCAAUGGACAACGAGAUUCAGUCCAUGUACGACAACCAAGUUUGGAAUUUGGUGUAUAAUGUGUCGGGUCGUAAGAUAGUCGGGUGCAAGUGGAUCUUCAAGAAGAAGACAUACAUGGAUGGGAAUGUGCACACUUAUAAAGCACGAUUGGUUACGAAGGGCUUUACUCAAACUCCUGGAGUUGACUAUGAUGAGACCAUCUCGCCAGUUGUCAAGAUAAAGUCUAUUAGGGUAAUGCUCGCAAUAGUUGCAUUUCAUGAUUAUGAAAUAUUGCAGAUGGACGUGAAAACCGCUUUUCUUAAUGGAAAGUUGGCUGAGGAUGUUUACAUGAAUCAGCCAGAAGGUAUUGUCGAUGCAAAGCAUCCAAAUAGAGUGUGUAAGUUUGAGAAAUCCAUUUAUGGAUUAAAGCAAGCGUCUCGCAGAUGGAAUCUUUGUUUUGAAGAGAAGGUCAAAGAGUUUGGCUUUCUGCGAAGCAAAGAUGAGUCAUGUGUGUAUGUCAAGGCCAGUGGGAGUAUAGUGAGCUUCCUCGUAUUGUAUGUCGAUGACAUACUACUCAUAGGAAACGACGUCCCAACCUUAUAGGAGGUCAAGUCCUGGCUUGGGAAGUGUUUCGCUAUGAAGGACCUCGGAGAGGCUUCGUAUAUUCUAGGAAUAAGGAUAGUAAGAAACAGAAGUAAAAGACUGAUAGGACUCAGUCAGGAUACAUACUUGGAUAAGGUACUAAAGCGUUUUAGUAUGGAAAAUUCCAAGAAAGGGGAGUUGCCAAUCCAAAGCAAUACCAAGUUGAGUAAGACUCAAUACCCAAGUACAGAGGUAGAAAUAGCUGAUAUGAGCCGAGUACCUUACGCUUCCGCAGUUGGCUCUAUCAUGUACGCUAUGACUUGUACUCGCCCUGAUGUUGCCUUCGCUUUGAGCAUGGUUAGCAGAUAUCAAGGGAACCCUGGUAGAGCGCAUUGGAUUGCUGUCAACAAUAUUCUUAAGUACCUACGAAGGACUAAGGAACGGUUUCUAGUCCUCAGUGGGAGUGAUGACUUAAGGAUACGAGGGUACAAUGAUGCUAGUUUUCAGACAGAUCGGGAUAAUUACCGAUCGCAGUCGGGCUAGGUCUUUACCCUGUAUGGAGGAAUAGUGACUUGGAAAAGUUCCAAGCAAGAGACCGUGGCUGAUUCAACGUGCGAAUCAGAGUACAUUGUGGCAAGCGAAGCGUCGAAAGAGGCUAUAUGGUUGAAGAACUUCAUUGGAGACCUUGGAGUUGUGCCAUCCAUAAAGGAGCCCAUGGAAAUUUUCUAUGAUAAUGAAGGAGCGGUUUCCUUAACCAAGGAACCAAGGGAUCAUGGCAGAUCUUGACAUAUCGAUAGGAAAUACCAUUUUAUUAGACAUCGGGUAGAAGAGGGACUCCUCGUUGUGAAGAGGGUAUCAUCAUAAGAUAACCCAGCAGAUCCCUUUACAAAGGGACUGAGUAGGGUCAAGCAUUUGCAUCAUGCUAGGAGCGUUGGGCUAAAGGACGAUAUUAGUUUAGAUUAGAUAGGUAGGAAACUUGUAAUAUAUAAUUUUGUAUUCAACAUUUGAUGAUUAAAUAAAGGUGUGUUAUUUAUAAGAAAGGUUACUAUCUUGUGGUGAUUAUUUAUCUAUUGUUUCUAUAUUGCAUGUUUUGAUUUCCUGAAUAAUAAGAUUAUUCAAACAGUCCACAAUCGCUCAUAUGUUGGAAGUAGAUAUGAACGAAGAUUGUCAUGAAUUUGUUUGUAGAUUGUCUAAAAGGUUUUAGACAUUGCAAAGGAUGGGUACAAAGUUCAUGAGUGCUUAUUAAAUAUGAUUUGAGCAUUGGAAUAAACCCGAGCUUGCUGGUAUCACUUCAUGAAAGGUAUCAUGAGUGAUCACAAGAUGAUAAAAUCAUAUAAUCUUUAAACCUAGAGAUAUGGUUAUUGUUUGCUACUUCAUUAUACAUUGAUAAUGCGAAAACGCAUCAGUAACUUGAUGUAAUAUAACACAUUAUUGUGUGUGACUUAACUAGUGAAUGAUAAAAGCAUAUAAGUUGAAGUUUUACUGUUCCUGAAUGGAGAAGUAGUGACUUGGAAAAGUUCCAAGCAGGAAACCGUAGCUGAUUCAACGUGCGAAUCAUAGUACAUUGCAGCGAGCGAAGCGUUAAAGGAGGCAAUAUGGUUAAAGAACUUCAUCGGUGAUCUUGGAGUUGUACCUGCCAUAAAGGAGCCCAUGGAGAUUUUCUGUGAGAAUGAAGGAGCGGUUGCCUUGACUAAGGAACCGAGAGAUCAUGGUAGAUCUCGACAUAUCGACAGAAAAUAUCACUUUAUUAGACAUCGUGUAGAAGAAGGACAACUCGUGGUGAAGAGGAUAUCAUCAGAAGAUAACCCAGCAGAUCCGCUUACGAAGGGACUAAGCAGGGUUAAGCACUUGCAGCAUGCUAGGAGUAUUGGGCUGAAGGAUGAUAUUAGUAUAGAUUAGAUAGUAGUAGAAACAUGUAAUAGAUAAAUGUAAUUAACAUUUGAUUAUUAAAUAAAAGGAGUAUUAUUUAUGAGUAAUGUUACUGUCUUAUGUUAAUUGUUUAACUAUUGUUUCACUUUGCAUGUUUUGACUUCCAGAAUAAUUGAGUUUAUUAAGAAUAAUCGAAUUAUUCAAAUUGUCCACAAUCGUUCAUAUGUUGGAAGUAGAUAUGAAUGAAGAUUGUCAUGAAUCAGUGUCUAGAUUGUCUAAAUAGUUUUAGACAUAGCAAAAGGUUGCUACAACGUUCGUGAGUGCUUAUGAACUGGUUCUGAGCAUUGGAACAAACCCGCACUUGCUGGAAUCACCUUAUGGAAUAUGAUAUAAAAGGGUGAUUGCAAGACGAUAAUAUCAUAUAGUCUUAAAACCUAGAUAUAUGGUUUGUUAUUUGUUAAUUGGUUGUACAUUGAUAAUGCGAAAACGCAUCAGUAACUCGGUGUUAUAAAACGCAUUGUUGUGUAU